rnacentral:rRNA from 1 species
CACAUGAGCGGCUAGCAUUAUCCGCAAUUAUUGGGCGUAUAGGAUACGUAGGUGGUUUGUGAAGUCUAGCUUAACUAAACGAGUUUAUUUAGUUUUUAUAGAAACCACACACUUAGAGUUAAAAAGAAGUUUACGUUACUCAUAAAUUAGCGAUAAAAUGCAACUAUUUUAUGGAGGACACCUAAAGCGAAGGCAGUUUGCUAUUUUUAACUGACGCUGAGGUAUGAAAGUGUAGGUAUCGAGUAGGAUUAGAGACCCUAUUAGUCUACACCCUAAACUAUGAGCAUUAAAUUUUUACGUAAAUUGUAAGAAUUUAAGCUAACGCGUAAAUGCUCCGCCUGGGAAGUACAACAGCAAUGUUGAAACUUAACAGAAUUGGCGGGAAUUUGAUUUAACGGUGGAACAUGUGGUUUAAUUCGAUAAUCCGCGAAAAACCUUACCGAUAUCGUUAUAAACCUACUAUUUUUUUUAACCAAAAAAUUUAGGCAUAUACAUGGUGUUGCAUGGCUGUCGUCAGUUCGUGUUGUGAGAUGUUAAAUUAACUUUUUCAACGGACGCAACCCCAGACAUUUGUUUUAUCUAUACUUAGUUAAAGAUCGUGUAAACUUGCUUAGGUAGAUUACUAAUGUAUUCCUUAUAAUUAAAAAUUUAAGGUAGGGUCGGGCUGAAGUCAAGUCCUUAUGGCCUCCAUAUAUCGGGCUACACACGUGUUACAAUGGUAGAAACAAAGUGUCACGAUAAUUAAAUUUAGAGUAAAUCACGAAAAUCUACCUCAGUUCGAAUUGUUUUCUGAAAGCUGAAAACAUGAAGGUGAAAUCGUUAGUAAUCGUAAAUUAGUAUGUUACGGUGAAUUAAAAAUCAAAUUCUGCACACACCGCCCAUCACGCUCGAAAAGUUGAUGUGAUGGAAAAUAUUGCUUAUAAGGCUAUAAUUGUAUUUAUUACUAAGUCGAGUCCUUACGUAGUGCAAUAUUGAAACUCUCGUUAGCAAUUUGAGUGAAGUUG